rnacentral:sRNA from 1 species
AUAACGUGAUGGGAAGCGGUUCGCUUCCUGUGUAUGAUUGAACCCUUCGGUUAUGAACCCCAGGGUUCAUUUUUGU